rnacentral:lncRNA from 1 species
ACAGCCCCAAACUCCUGCGUCAAGCGGAGCUACGGGUGCUGGGAAACCAGAACUAGCCAGUUUUCUAAACAGAGUGGUUAGCAAAAUUACAUGUUGUGAAAUGGGGCUCCAUCCUUUAAAGGAUCAUUACCUAUUUUUAAAAGAACCUGUCCAAUGAUUCUUCUUGACAGCCAGAUGUGGACAGAUGGUAAAUGCCAGAUAACAAGCAGUCCUCAUUCUCAAGCUUUUGAACUUGAACAAGGAAGGACCUUGGCCAUUGAUCUCUCCAGCACCUAUAACUUUGGAUGAAGAUAUUUGCAACAGAUAGAUUCCUGCCGUAAAUGAGCAAUCAAUACAACCAGUCCAUUCAAAGAGGGUGAAGCACAAAUGACGUUGUAAGCAUGGCCUUCCUCUGGACCCAUGGAGGCAAAACCAAAAACCUUGAAGGCUUUUCAUAAGAUGCAAAACAAAGAAGAAUCUGGAACUAGGAUUCAGAUGCCACCAGGAUUCAGAAUCUACAUCAUCUCUCCAAACUACACAUGGAACACGUCUCUUCUUGUCCAGCAAAGUGUUUGGUCUUAGCCUCUACACUGGAAGCUCCAUGCUGCUAACUGCCUACAGAGUGUAGAGUCUGGCUCCAGCAAGGAAGAAAAUGCCUGUGUAUUGAAAUCCUUGGUGAUGGCAAGCCACCAUGCUGCCAUGGAAUGAAAGAAAAAGCAGAGAAGACAAAGAGAUAGUCAUUACAUAAUCCUUUUCCAUUUUAUUCUACUGUCCCCUGUUUCCUCAGAAGCAACCGAAACUUCUUUAAACAUGGUCCCUCUUUAGUCCCUCUCUGCCUGGGAAACCACACAUCAUGUGCUACGGAUCCUAAAGAUCACAAUGCUUGGAGCUCUUUCAAAAACUGAAAAGGACUGCCAUCAGAGUAAAACAAAUUCAGCCCUGCCCCCAGCCCAGCCAUGCCCUAGUGGGGGUAUUUGUAUAUGGCACUGAAUCUUGUAGGCUCUGAAGUAAGGAUGCACCAUUAACUGUAUGGACUAUUAUGGUUUUUGAAGAUUUAGUCAAAAAAAACUUUAAGUGACUAGCCAAAGGUCUGAUCGGUGGCAAGCAGUGGCUGAUGCCACUCCUCUUCUCCCCUUUGUCUUUAUCAUGGGGGAUUUUGAAAUAGGAAGGCUUCACAGGAUCCUUCAAACCCUGAAAAUUACAUCUAAGUUGGUUGUAUCCACGAAGGAUCUUAUUUUUAAAGAAGGUAUCUGUAUAUGUUUUCCAGGGUUGUCUUAACUAAGCACCAUACAUCUAACCAACAGAAACAUAUUACCUUGCAGUUCAGGUGGUUGAGCC